AUGCCACCGCUCUCCUCCUUUCUCUCUCUCUCUCUCUACUCUUGUCUGAUGGAGUGCAAGGCGGCGAGCGAGUCGCCCUCGUCGGCCCCCUCUUCUUCCAUGGACAGCUGCGGCGCCGGCGGGCCGCGGGCGACAGUCUCCACGGCGUCGUCCUGCUACCGGCCGGCGAUCGGCAGGGGCCUAAGCACGGACCUUCACCUCGGGCUCAGCCUGCGGUCAUGCUCCUCCUCCUUCCACACGGCCGACGGCGUCUCCGCUUCCACUCCAAGGUCUCUCUACAGACUCGUAAUUUUAUCUAAAAAUUUAACCUUCUUGUUCAUCAUUUGCAUCGGUCGGUCUCUGGCUCCUCUCUGCACAUCAACCGAUGCAUCGAUCAACCCGUUUCUUAGGAGCACCCUGACGACGACGACGACGAUGAGGCCAACGGCGCCGUCGUCUGAUCCGGCGCACCAGAGAGGAGGAGGCGGCGGCGGCCAUGGGCAGCGGUCGCUGUUUGUGAAGGUGUACAUGGAGGGCGUCCCCAUCGGCCGGAAGCUGGAUCUGCUGCUGCUGGACGGCUACGACAGACUCCUCGCCGUCCUAGGCCGCAUGUUCAAGGCCUCCAUCAUACAUCCGGAUACUGUCGGCCGUGAUCACCGAGUGGUUCUUGGGGAGAAGCAGGCUCGCCAUGUUGUCACUUAUCAAGACCAGGAGGGGGACUGGUUGAUGGCCGGGGACGUACCGUGGGAGCUAUUCCUGGCGGGUGUGAAGAAAUUGAAGAUUGCAAGGGUGGACAGUAGCACCUCUGAUUGA
rnacentral:rRNA from 1 species